rnacentral:rRNA from 1 species
UACGGAGGGGGCUAGCGUUGUUCGGAAUUACUGGGCGUAAAGCGCACGUAGGCGGCUUUGCAAGUUAGAGGUGAAAGCCCGGGGCUCAACUCCGGAAUUGCCUUUAAAACUGCAUCGCUAGAAUUGUGGAGAGGUAAGUGGAAUUCCGAGUGUAGAGGUGAAAUUCGUAGAUAUUCGGAAGAACACCAGUGGCGAAGGCGACUUACUGGACACAUAUUGACGCUGAGGUGCGAAAGCGUGGGGAUCAAACAGG